CUCCAUCUCAAGGGGCGCGGGGGGCGGCACAGUUUGGUUUGAAUAUGAAAAGAAAGAAGAUGAUGAACUUUAUUCAAACAAAUAAACAAUGUAACUAUUCGUUUACUAGGGGCAGGUAGCAGACGAAACAACUUCUGAGAAAGUCCACAAAGCAAAAAAUAUGAAACAAUAAAAGAAGUCGAGGGUAAGUUAGAAAUUAAUGUCGUUGUUGUGAAUGAUCUUACAAUAAACGUAAGGUUAUUUCCUAAAUGUCCAAGUUAUUUAACUGCUCUCAGAUGGACCUAGGUACGAGUCCAACAAGCUUGCGAGCUAAAUGUAACUUAUGUGCUUAAACGUUUCCUCCGUGGUUUAGUUGAGUUUGGUUGCUAUAGUUCCAAAGCUCGCCAUUCUGGCAGGAUUCCCGGAGAGUGCACUGACGCACUAGACAAGCCUGUUGCUGACGGCGGGAGAAAGGCUAGAGACGAACGGAUCAAUCCCCCAUAUGCUACAUAUAACACGUUUUAAAACUUAGCCUGAUUAUUUAAUUUUACAUUUGUGUUUAUACUUUUUUUUGCUGUCCACUGAAGUGCUUCGUUACUUUCUCAAACAUCAGCAAGAUAUGGACGGCAAUUGCUUUUCCAAACCUCCUAUAAGGUACGUAUUUUGGUCAAUUUCAAUUAACUGUUUCCAGCGUUUGUUUCUGUAGGGCCAAUGUGCUAUCCUCUACAUUGAUUACCUGUACAUACAACUGAAUUACCGCUGCCACUGAAGACUUUUUAGAAUUUUUUCUCCUGUAUAUUUGAGGAGUUAGCGGAUAGACUAGAGCACGAAGACAUAAAACCACAAUAAAGAUCCAAGAGUCGGAUUCAGAGGUCACAAGCUCAAUUGACAAUGUAGUUCCAUUCUAGUAUUUGUUGCAGUAAAGACACUUAUAUUAAUUUUGUGCGGAAAAAACUGUGAUAUUACUAUGGAAUACAAAAAUCAUAGUUAUUGUAUCUUGCAUAAGGACAAUGAAAAUAUAUUAUGAAUAAACACCUCAAAAUGGACAGGCAUGUCAAUAAUCUCUAUAUAUACUUAUACUAGUU
ensembl:lncRNA